rnacentral:rRNA from 1 species
GACGAACGCUGGCGGCGUGCCUAAUACAUGCAAGUCGAACGCAGUGGGGACGGGAGAGUAACACGUGGGUAACCUCCCAUCAGAGGGGAUAACACUUGGAAACAGGUGCUAAACCGAUACUGAUGGAUGGACCCGCUGUGAAUUAGCUAGUUGGUGAGGUAACGGCUCACCAAGGCCAAGAUGCAUAGCCGACGUGAGUGGGGUACGGGCCACCCCGGGACUGAGCAACGGCCCAGACUCCUACGGGAGGCAGCAGUAGGGAAUCUUCGGCAAUGGAGGAAAGUCUGACCGCGCCACGCCGCGUGAGUGAAUAAGGUUUUCGGAUCGUAAAACUCUGUUGUUAGAGAAGCGGUAUCUAACCAGAAAGCCACGGCUAACUACGUGCCAGCAGCCGCGGUAAUAC